AUAAAAAAAUAUAUAAAAUAAAAGAAAAUGUAAAUAAAAUAUCGGAGAAACUCCUGUCCGUCAUCUAUUGGUGUGAGGAUAUAUUCCAUUUAAUAUUGAAGAAGAUGUCCAACAAUUUUUUACAUACGUUGAACGUAUUGACCCUCGGCAGCUGCAAAUGUAAGAUCAGCCCGGCCGAACUCACAGUUUUUUUACUUGUUGAUAUUGAUAAGUUGUUGUGGCACCGAUCCUCUUCAACAGCAAUAUAACCCUAGUAAGACACAUUAUUUAACGGUGUUUAUCGGAGUUCGUAACAGGUUCCAUCUUCGGUUGCAAAAUACUUGUCUAUCCAGAUCCACGUUUUCGAAUAGCAGCCAUAUAACAGAACGGUCAACAAAAUUUGGUGAAUGGAUGAUAUCAGGCACAUUUGUCAACGGUAUUGUUCAUGGCAAUAGGUCCCAUAGUCUCUGGUAAAUUUUUCGUAUAUCCCACGUUGUUAUAUAUUGAUAUACAUUCCAAAGACCUUCGCUAGAUGAUGUCAGAUAUUGCCCAAAAAUACUUUUGGCAAAUUUUGUAGAGAUCUGUUCAGAUUUGGAUAUAGCUCCUACAUAAAUCUGUAGUUAAAUAGA